GUGCCAGCAGCCGCGGUAAUACGGAAGGUCCGGGCGUUAUCCGGAUUUAUUGGGUUUAAAGGGAGCGCAGGCCGGAGUUAAGCGUGACGUGAAAUGUAGGUGCUCAACAUCUGCACUGCGUCGCGAACUGGCUUUCUUGAGUGAGUUCGAUGCCGGCGGAAUUCGUGGUGUAGCGGUGAAAUGCUUAGAUAUCACGAAGAACCCCGAUUGCGAAGGCAGCCGGCAAGGCCUUUACUGACGCUAAAGCUCGAAAGUGCGGGUAUCGAACAGGAUUAGAUACCCUGGUAGUCCGCACGGUAAACGAUGGAUGCCCGCUGUUCGCGAUAUAGUGUGAGCGGCCAAGAGAAAUCGUUAAGCAUCCCACCUGGGGAGUACGCCGGCAACGGUGAAACUCAAAGGAAUUGACGGGGGCCCGCACAAGCGGAGGAACAUGUGGUUUAAUUCGAUGAUACGCGAGGAACCUUACCCGGGCUUGAACUGCAGCAGAACGAUUCAGAGAUGAUGAGGUCCUUCGGGACUGCUGUGGAGGUGCUGCAUGGUUGUCGUCAGCUCGUGCCGUGAGGUGUCGGCUUAAGUGCCAUAACGAGCGCAACCCCUUUCGUCAGUUGCCAUCAGUUUAAGCUGGGCACUCUGGCGACACUGCCACCGUAAGGUGUGAGGAAGGUGGGGAUGACGUCAAAUCAGCACGGCCCUUACGUCCGGGGCUACACACGUGUUACAAUGGGUGAUACAGAGCGUCGGCGCUUGGCAACACGCGUCCAAUCGUGAAAGUCAUCCUCAGUUCGGAUUGGGGUCUGCAACCCGACCCCAUGAAGCUGGAUUCGCUAGUAAUCGCGCAUCAGCCAUGGCGCGGUGAAUACGUUCCCGGGCCUUGUACACACCGCCCU
rnacentral:rRNA from 1 species